UACGUAGGGAGCAAGCGUUGUCCGGAAUCAUUGGGCGUAAAGCGCGCGUAGGUGGCCUCGUAAGUCCGCUGUGAAAGUCAAAGGCUCAACCUUUGAAAGCCGGUGGAUACUGCGGGGCUAAAGUACGGAAGAGGCGAGUGGAAUUCCUGGUGUAGCGGUGAAAUGCGCAGAUAUCAGGAGGAACACCCGUGGCGAAAGCGGCUCUCUGGGACGGUACUGACGCUGAGACGCGAAAGCGUGGGGAGCAAACAGG
rnacentral:rRNA from 1 species